rnacentral:rRNA from 1 species
GAUGAACGCUGGCGGCGUGCCUAAUACAUGCAAGUCGAGCGAACGGACGAGAAGCUUGCUUUUCUGAUGUUAGCGGCGGACGGGUGAGUAACACGUGGAUAACCUACCUAUAAGACUGGGAUAACUUCGGGAAACCGGAGCUAAUACCGGAUAAUAUUUUGAACCGCAUGGUUCAAAAGUGAAAGACGGUCUUGCUGUCACUUAUAGAUGGAUCCGCUCUGCAUUAGCUAGUUGGUAGGUAACGGCUUACCAAGGCAACGAUGCAUAGCCGACCUGAGAGGGUGAUCGGCCACACUGGAACUGAGACACGGUCCAGACUCCUACGGGAGGCAGCAGUAGGGAAUCUUCCGCAAUGGGCGAAAGCCUGACGGAGCAACGCCGCGUGAGUGAUGAAGGUCUUCGGAUCGUAAAACUCUGUUAUUAGGGAAGAACAUAUGUGUAAGUAACUGUGCACAUCUUGACGGUACCUAAUCAGAAAGCCACGGCUAACUACGU